rnacentral:rRNA from 1 species
UGGGGAAUUUUGGACAAUGGGCGAAAGCCUGAUCCAGCAAUGCCGCGUGUGUGAAGAAGGCCUUCGGGUUGUAAAGCACUUUUGUCCGGAAAGAAAUCCUUGGCUCUAAUACAGUCGGGGGAUGACGGUACCGGAAGAAUAAGCACCGGCUAACUACGUGCCAGCAGCCGCGGUAAUACGUAGGGUGCAAGCGUUAAUCGGAAUUACUGGGCGUAAAGCGUGCGCAGGCGGUUUGCUAAGACCGAUGUGAAAUCCCCGGGCUCAACCUGGGAACUGCAUUGGUGACUGGCAGGCUAGAGUAUGGCAGAGGGGGGUAGAAUUCCACGUGUAGCAGUGAAAUGCGUAGAGAUGUGGAGGAAUACCGAUGGCGAAGGCAGCCCCCUGGGCCAAUACUGACGCUCAUGCACGAAAGCGUGGGGAGCAAAACAGGAUUAGAUACCCUGGUAGUCCACGCCCUAAACGAUGUCAACUAGUUGUUGGGGAUUCAUUUCCUUAGUAACGUAGCUAACGCGUGAAGUUGACCGCCUGGGGAGUACGGUCGCAAGAUUAAAACUCAAAGGAAUUGACGGGGUCAU